rnacentral:rRNA from 1 species
UCGUCUCAGCGACAAGAUCGACUGGUCUCCGAAUUCGAAGCCACGACACUUGUCCUGCCCGACCGGAGAGGAGCAAUCGCUAUGGCUGCAGGGCCGUUGGAGCUGUGGAGCCACCAGUCGAUGCAGAUCCUGGUCCUCCUCAGCUUCGGGCUCCAACUCGUCCUCUUUGUCUUCGCCGGGGUCCGCCGGCGUGAGGCCCUCCUGCCGAGGCUCCUCCUGUGGCUAGCGUACAUCAUGGCCGACUCCACCGCCGUGUACGCCGUCGGCCACAUGGCGUUCAGCAGCGCCGUGCGGCCCGUGCGUGAGCAGCAGCUGGUUGCGUUCUGGGCUCCGUUCCUGCUGCUGCACCUCGGCGGCCCGGACAACAUCACCGCCUACGCGUUCCAGGACAACCAGCUCUGGCUCCGUCACCUCCAGAUCCUUGUCGUGCAGGUCCUCGGAGCGGCCUACGUCCUGUACAAGCACAUCGCCUUCGCCGGCGGCGGCAAGAACGGUGACUUGCUCCGGAUCGCCUCCUUCCUGAUGUUCGCCGUAGGCGUCGUCAAGUACGGCGAGAGGACGUGGGCGCUCAAGUGCAGCACGCUGGAGAGCAUCCGCGCCUCCAUCAAGACGCAGCCGCCGGCCAUACACAAUCAUUUCCACCCUCAGGACGGAGCCACAGAGGAGGAGUUCCACCUACGUCGAGGUCACAGCCUGUUCCACAUCUGCAAGUUCACCAUCGUCGAUUCCUCGGUGCUCGAGCUCGAGGAGGACUCCAUUUACAGACCAGAGGUGUACACCAGCAAGUUUAUACAAGGCAUCGAGCUGUGGACGCUCAUGGAGAUCCAGCUCUCCCUCUUGUACGACCUGCUCUACACCAAGGCAGCCGUGGUCCACACCUUCUUUGGCUACCUGGUCCGCGUCGUCUCGCCCCUUACCGUCACCACCUCGCUGCUGCUGUUCCACUUCACCUCCAAGGACGGCCACAGCACAACCGACGUCAUCAUCGCAUACGUCUUGCUGGGUGGCGCCGUGUUCAUGGAGACGAUGUCGCUCCUGAACGCGUUGGCAUCAUCUUGGACGUUCGCGUUCCUGAGCGCCACCAGAUGGCUAUGGCUUCGCUACAUAGCCCUGUGCAACGAGAGAUGGGACCGGCUCCGGCGCACGGUUGUGUGGCUUCACCAUCUCGUCAAGGGUGAUAGGUACAAGUCAAGAAGGUGGUCAUACACCAUCGGGCAGUACAACUUGUUGCACUUCUGCACGCGCCCCGCCGACACGCCUCUCACCAGCCCCCUGCUCGGCAGGCUUGCCAGGGCAUUGGGACUCAACGAGUGGUGGAACAGGAAGCACUACUCAGGGACCGUCAAGAUGACCGAUCCGAUCAGGCGUCGUAUCUCUGUGUACAUUAGCCGGCUGUACGGCAAGGCGAGGUUCAACAGUGCCAUGCUGGGCAAGAAGUGGGGUCAGUACCCACUAGACCGCCGUGGACUUUACAGCGGCGUCCUCAAGGACUCCCUUGGUGUCGAGUUCCAGGAGGGCAUCAUCAUCUGGCACAUUGCCACCGAGGUCUUCCUCACCAAGAGCAAGAGAGCCAAGUCUGUGGAUGCUGCGCCUGACGUGCACGCCAUUAGGGUCAUGUCCGACUACAUGAUGUUCCUCCUGGUGGAACGUUCCUACAUGCUGCCAGGCAUGCCCCAAAAAAGGUUGUACCAACAGACCUGCGAGAGGUUGGUCACCAUGCAAUCGGCUGAUCCUAGGUACCCGAGCCAUCCACGCGUCGUCAUGGAUCUCCUCCGUGUGCGCGAUGACCCACAUUCC